rnacentral:rRNA from 1 species
UCCGUGGCUACGAGGACGAACGCUGGCGGCGUGCUUAACACAUGCAAGUCGAACGGUAAGGCCCUUCGGGGUACACGAGUGGCGAACGGGUGAGUAACACGUGGGUGAUCUGCCCUGCACUUCGGGAUAAGCCUGGGAAACUGGGUCUAAUACCGGAUAGGACCAUGGACUUCACGGUUUGUGGUGGAAAGCUUUUGCGGUGUGGGAUGGGCCCGCGGCCUAUCAGCUUGUUGGUGGGGUAAUGGCCUACCAAGGCGACGACGGGUAGCCGGCCUGAGAGGGUGUCCGGCCACACUGGGACUGAGAUACGGCCCAGACUCCUACGGGAGGCAGCAGUGGGGAAUAUUGCACAAUGGGCGCAAGUCUGAUGCAGCGACGCCGCGUGAGGGAUGACGGCCUUCGGGUUGUAAACCUCUUUCAAUAGGGACGAAGCGCAAGUGACGGUACCUAUAGAAGAAGCACCGGCCAACUACGUG